UACGGAGGGGGCUAGCGUUGUCCGAAGUUACUGGGCGUAAAGCGCGCGUAGGCGGGUUGGUAAGUCCGCUGUGAAAGCCCGGAGCUUAACUCCGGAGGGUCGGUGGAUACUGCCAGUCUUGAAGGUGCUAGGGGGAGAUGGAAUUACCGGUGUAGCGGUGAAAUGCGUAGAUAUCGGUAGGAACACCAGUGGCGAAGGCGGUCUCCUGGGGCAUUCUUGACGCUGAGGAGCGAAAGCGUGGGGAGCAAACAGG
rnacentral:rRNA from 1 species